AUUGUAUCAUAUUCCAAAAAGCUUGCCUAGAAAUUAUAAAUGUCAUUCAACAUCAACAUCAUCAUUCAAUAAAACCAAUGAGAGGUACAACAGACUCGAAGAUAUUCUGAAAUUCUAAAACGACAUAGAAUACUUGUAGAGCUAGGAUUGAGAAAAAUUCCAAAUGGUUUAGAGAACAAUAGUAUUCCCUGAUUAUCAAAAGUUAAUUAAAAAUUUAAUAAAUUAAUGUAAAAUUUGUAAUAUUGCCAAAACAGAACAGGAAAUACUAAAAUUGCCCCACAAAUUCAAUAUAUAAGGUAAACAUUUGUUAUGGAUUUGUAUAUGGUAGGCAACCAACAGUUUUUAUCAUGUACACACAAAUAUUUCAAAUUUUCUACAUUAGUGUAACUAGCAGGUAGACAUUGGUUAGAAGCCAAAAGAACACUUAGUUCAAACACAAAUAAAAACUAGUAAGAACGGUAUUUCAGAUACAGAACGAUUCCACAAACAGUAAAUAAAAAGUUAAGAAUCAUAUAAAGUGAAUUAUAUAUGAAGAAAAGAUAUACAACAUUCAAACGGAUCCUUUAUACUUACAAUUAUAAAACCAAACAUAGUGAUACAUGCAUUUGUCAGUUACUAUUUUCAUUAUUUCUUUAUUAAACAAUGGGUUUAUAAACGAAAUAAUUAGACAAGAAAAUUUGAAUACAAUUCACUAAAAACUUAUAAAAAUUUCCAAAUUAUUUAUGUUGAACCUAAUAUGUUACUGACAUGCAACAUUCCAAAAUCAUUGCUAAAUCAAAAUUCCAAUAAUAAAGACAUUGCCAUUGUCGAGUUUAAUUGGAACCAUUGUCAUAUAUUCAAACAAAAGAAAUAAUUGAAUGACAUACACAAUUUAUAAUUUCAAAACAACUUUUGUAAUUAUUAUUUAAGCAUUUUAUUGUAUUAAUGGUAUAACGUGUAGAACAUGCCAAGAAAUAAAAAUAUGUAAAGCCAAAAGAAGAAACACCACAGAGAACAGAAGUUGUAAACGAUCACAUAGAAGAAAAUGUAAAUGUAAUGCCGAAAAUUAUCCUCCUGAAGACAGACCAAAUGUCCAUACACACAGUCACCCUCGAGACACCCAUUAAAAAAAUUAUAAAGUCACUCUCUAAGAAAUAAAAAUGCAAAUUCAAUUGUAAACAUGCCAAUGGAAUUUUACCAAGCAUAAACAAGCUAUAGGAAAAACUAAUCAAUUAGAACGAGCCUCUGUUCAGACUAUAGGCAGUUUCCACAAUACAGGAUACUCCGAUUUUGGAGCGUCGGUAGGAUCUCAAAAAAUCGUUAGAAGAAGUCACAUGUACUGAUCAAAAGAAGGAUAAUACUAUACAAAUAGUUUAUCCUGACAGAGUAAAAUCCAUAAACAACCAAAGAACAAUAAAAAGAGAUCCGCGAACGAAUCUAUGUCUAAAUCAAUUGCACAAAAAAAUUGGAAUAAAAUCAAAAUCAGUAAAUAAGCGCAUAAUUAAAAAAUUUAAGUGCCUAUAUUGAAAACAACAAUAAUUUUAAAAUCAAAAAUCCAAAUCGGUCAAUACGCACUUAAUCUGAAAUAUAUAUAUAUAUAGUUAUAUAGAUGUUUCUUUUAAAUCUUCAAUCACUACAAAGAAUAAGUUUUAAAAAAAAAAACAAAAAAAAAAGGCAAUUUAGGAUGUGAAUUUGCAUGUACGUCGCGGAUCAAAGAAUACAAAGUUUAACUUCGUGUUAAAAGAAAAACGCUAUAGUCGAGUGACCCGACUAUCAGAUACCCGUUACCCAUCUUAAGAGAGCAAAAGGAUAAUGAAGAUAUAUACCUACCGGCUAUUUCAUUAGAUGUUAUGUGGGCGGCAGACAGAUUUAAGCGUUUUGGCCUUUUGUGGUCGUUAGAGUGGGCGUGGCACCUUUUUUUUUAGUGAGUCGACAGGUAUUGUUGAGGCAAAUACAUUUCAGUUGAAAUUUUGUUUCUAUCAUAAAACUUCAGGCGCUACAUAUUUUCGCGGAUUAUGGGCGUUAGAGUUGGCGUGGCACCCAGCUGAAACAUACUUGUUCUGCGCAGGAACCCCAAAAAUCUGCAUUCCAAGUCCUACGGUUUUAGCUCUUAUAGUUUUUGAGAUCUCAGCGUUUAUACGAGAGAGAUUAUACAGGACGCCAAGAUGUAGCCCAUUAUUGUACGACUUGACACCAGGGUGAAUCCCUGCCAUAGUAGAAGUCUUGGAGACAAUGCAAUCAAGAAUACAUUUCGAUCGAAGAAGGAGCAUGAACAGCGGGGCUUCUCUCCCUAAAUGGGCAUCCUGUGCGCUUGCCGUAUUAUUUUUAUAAUUGACAAUUUACAAUUUUUAAUUAACUUAAAGGGCUUUUAAUAAAUAUGCACAAGGUGCAAAAGCGUAAAAGUAAAAUCAAUCUGUAUGAAUAUCGGUACAAUAUGAAUGAAUACCACUUUAAAAUGAAAGAACACCAUUUUGAUGUGGAAUCAAAUGAGUUCUUUAUUAAAAAAUAACAUAUUAAUUAAUAUGUGAAUAUAUCAAUCUGGAUCACGGCUUACUCGUCAAGGCUUGAAUCCAAGGGUUAGAAUUUCGCUAGAGUCGAGGCUACAAGUUAUUUUCCUAUGAAAGAGUUCGUUAAUAAUUUACAAGUAAAACGAGCGGACAUUCUCUGGCAUUGAUAAUUAACUUUAAAAUUCAGACGCAAUAGUCGUCUCGACUAAACUCCUUUAAAGCGAUUACUGAAUACAUGAUAUUAUCAUCGAACUCAGGCCAUUGUCCGGAAGCAACUGCAAUCUUUUUUGAUUGGUUCCAGAAUUAUAUCUUCUUAGCGGAUAGCUCCAACUUUGUUUGCGAUUUGCUAAGGGCCUACAGCCCCACAAAAAACUGUAUUUGGCUGGAUAGGUAAACUGUAAAGAAAAUUUGUCUACACGGUCUGUUACACAUACUACUUUAGCACCUAUGAAGCCUAUGAUCGAUUUGAAAGCUUGUGGCCCUAUUGACGAAAGUGAUCUGUACGAUUUCGACUAAGCAGAAAUUCGUUGAUUAUAACUAUUUUAAACUAAAUAAACAAGUAGCUGAUAUAGUGGAUGGCACACAUUGCGUGUGACAACGGGUCACAAACUAUAUGCCGAUAGGCAUGUCUUUACAUCAUUUGUACUAACCCCUGAGUAGCCCCGGGCUUAACCCGAACAUCUGUAAUUAUUUAUUAAGCCUAUAUUUCUGUUAACUGAUAAUAAAAAUAUUGUACAUUUUUACCUAUAGCAGAUUAAACUAAAGAUCUUUGUAACCCCAAAUCAUAUAUAUAAGCCCGAAUCCAUGCUCAAUAAAAAAUCAGAACGAAUACGGAGAUAUAAAUCAGCAACUUUAACUUUGCGUUCAACUAACACACAAGUUCUAAUCAACUAAGCGAUUUGAACUAGAUGAAUUGCUGUUUCUCUGAUCAAUCUGUUCAGAGCCAAUUUACAUAUAUAUACUCCAUCGGUGCGGGUGGAGGCACAUAAAAUCCAAUUACCACUUAAGCGGAUUAUAUAAGAAAGUAGAUAUCAGUUCUUGAAAGAACAAUUAACUGUAAGAAAACCAAUUCACAAUGUCUUCGGAAUAAUAAAGAGGGCUCCACCGACAUGAAGACUAAACCAGCCAACUACAGAGAAUAAUAGCAAACGUUAAUGUUAAAAUCCUCCUUAAUGUUAAAUCUUCAAAAUAACUCCGGAGAAAUUCAAAUAAUUAGUUUUCUAAUGGAUCCACUUUAGAACACGAUUAUUUCCCAAAUGAAUUAAUUUAGUCAUUUCAUUAAAUAUUUAUGAAUUCUAUGUUUGUUACAAUGCCUGAAUAGUAAAAAAUCACCAAGAAUUAGGCGCAUUUUAUCGCUCAGUAAGACAACUUUAGCCCAUCUCGUCGGCUGUGCGUACAAUCGGUGGGCCAUAACCCAUUUAGCGGUCCGUCCUACCCUACAUCUCAUCGUCGGAGCUCACCUAACCUCCAUUUCCUCGGCUAGGCUCCAGAAAUCGGUGCAUCCUAAAACACAUCAUAUACGAAGAGCACAUCAGCUGCGAUCCUAACCUCAAUUCGUCAGUACAACGACCCGCAUUUUAAAUUGAUUAUAAAGUUGCCUACGUAAAUACAUACAACCUUUAUUUCUAACACACAAAUGUUAUAAGUUACUUGGCUUUCAAUCAUCAACUGCUUAAGGGCUCAUACCCAAUACACAUACAAACACAUAUUUGGUCUAACUUGAUUCCUUGGUUUGUCUUCUUGUACUUUCUCUUGUCAUUUGUCUUCUGCCUUCACCAAACAUUUUUCCAAACUCUCUUUUCCCUCGUGACUACGCACAUUCUCCUCUCUGGCUUUUAUCCUGUGUACGACGCCGCACCGCACCAUGAUGAGCUUCACUUCAGCUUUUCUGUGCCGUUCAGUGAAAUUUUUUGUCGGACUUAGCUCAGGUUUGCUUUAUUUCGAUAUCGGAACGCUAUUUUCUUCCAGUGGGAUCUACCAGUAUCCAUCAUCAGGUCCAAACUGCGGAUGAUGAUGGGCAUUUGGUAUGCAUCUUUCAUAGACUUCACAUUGAUCUGCCAAAAGUCAACGCACAGUCUCCACUUAAAGCUUGAGUUUACCCCUAUGCCGAUUGUACCUUAGCAGCUAGCUUAGAUCCCUGGCCAUUUUCCGAUCGUUCGCAGCAGUUGACGCCCCUGACAUCCAUUUUGCCGCAGAAUAAAAGCCGUUGGGUUAGACAACCUUGGGCCGUGGUCCGUUCUCACCACAUUUCUAAAAGACCUUCUACAGGUCUGUGAUAUGGGUUGUAUCAUGUAGACUUUGUGUAGUGCUAGGAGUCUCCACAAGAUAUUGUUUGGCUAUCUCUGUUGCUGUUUGGGGUGGUGUCCAUGUUCCACGUGGAGCUUUGUUUGCCUGAUGCGGUUGGAGUUGGUGUGGUGGUGAACAUUGGUCCUUUCCUUUCUGCAAGCUUGAUCCAGCUCCACAGGAUACGCAGCUUACUCCAGCUUCACAGGAUACGCAGCCUGAUCCAGCUUUACAAGAUACCCAGUUUAUUCCGGCUUCACAGGAUACGCAGCUUACUUUAGCUUCACAGGAUACUAUGGCUCAUACAGAUUCACGGGAUACGCAGCUUACUCCAGCUUCACAGGAUACGCAGCUUAAUGCAGCUUCACAGGAUACCAUAACUUGAUCCAGCUUUACAAGAUACGCAGCUUACUCCAGCUUUACAGGAUACCAUAGCUCAUCCAGCUUCACAGGAUACGCAGGUUACUCCAAAUGAGCUACAAGGUCAGAUUCAACAGCUCAUAAAGGACUAUGGCAAGGAUUCUGCCGAACGACGCCAACGAGACGGUUAUUAUUCCAGUAAGCUAAACGAGUUAAGCGAUCUCUGUUCAAUGACUUAGAUGAAGAAGUCCAAUAAGCAACAUUACCUACUGCAGAUAAAUACGCCUUACGACUCACAACAUUAAAUGAGCUGGUAAAGAAUUAUAAGCAAUAUUCAAAAAAAAUACGGCGUCAGCGAGCCGACCUCAAAAGAUACCUUGGCGGAUCCUCAACAAUCCGAAGGACUCUUUAAUCAAGCAAACAGUUUUACAACGCCUCUUGUGGGUCUAAUGGGGCUUAUUGAUCUCGAUAGUACUCCUGGUAUUCAGAUAUUAUAUAAAGAAGAUAAUAUGACCUUGCCUCGAGGAAACGACUCUCUGAUGAACCUAAAUCUGUCUCUACCACCAAUCAGUAUUCCCGAGUUUGAUCACGAAUACCUAGAUUGGCCCCAUUUUCACGAUUUGUUUGUGCAUAAUAAAGCAUACUCAGCCAGCCAGAAGCUGGAUAUUCUAUAAGGUUUACUCUGCGGUGAAGCAAGAAAUAUUUUGACUGAGCAAUCUAGUGGCAGGCGCAGUAACCAUCGCAGGCUGCGACAACCCUAGAGGAAAGGUUCUGCUCGCGACCGCCAAGGUAUAAUUAGAAGAUCCUACUGGUCAACUUAAAAUAUGUCCCGCUGUAAUAGAUUCCGGGUCAUAAGUGAAUCUUAUCUCAAGGAGGAUGGCAGAGCUGCUAUCUCUUAAGGAAAUGUCGUUACCGAUUGAAAUAUCUGGAAUUGGAAGAAAAAUAACAACAGCGACCAAGUCAAUACUAAAGCUAUGGUCGUGUACCUCAGAUUUUAAAACCCCAGUCUAGGUAUUUAUUAUUUUCACAGUCAUUUCAGAUCAACCAUCGUUACCAAUUGCACACGAUCUUGUGCGAGAGAGAUUGUCUUUAGCAGAUCCUGACUUUCGGCAACCUGGACCCAUUUAUCUCACCUUAGGGGUUGACCCGUAUUCUCGUUGAAUAAAUGAAGGAUCUCAUAACACAGACGUGCCAAAUGAUCAAUUUCUGCGAGGGCACAAUUUCAGUCCCCACGGCAGGGAAGUUGCUAGCAUAAAAGGGAGCGUCAAGCAGCAUCAAGAAGGUUUGGGGGAUGUUAAUCAUACUCAGGAUUUUGCGCAGUCUAAAGAGGGCUCACUGACAAUCAAUAAUUUGUUGGCUGCUUUCUAUGGAUUUCUGUCAAGGGCUGAAAGACAUCACGCCUUAAUUGAGGGUAGUCCAACGAGAAUCGUAAUGGAAACCAAAAUUUAAAAAUUGAAUAAAAACCACAAAAGCUAUCCCAAAGAUACCUUCAGAAGUCCAGUGCAGACUGAAAAGGACGCCAAGAUGUUUCCCAUAUUGUGGGACUUGCCAGCAGGACGAGUCGUUAACGAAGAGUUUCCCAUUGGGGAGACACUGGACUCCACUCCAGAACGAGACGCUGGCUUCUAUGGGAUCGAGGAAAAAAGUCCGCCGCUAAGAGACAGCUGUCCAUUGCCAGGAUGCUGGUCGCCUUCCUGCAUAGAAAUUCGUUCCCAUCCCGGCUCUGACAGCCCCAUGGCACAUAUUGGCAAAUUGGGAACAGCAUUGCAGUGCUUAGUUCGCGGAGAAAAAAGCAUCCGCGAAACUAGAAGGAAGCCUUAAAAUAAUUUUUUAGGAAAAAUAAAAAAAUUCCCUUGAACAUUUAAUUUAAGUUUUUUAUUUUGUGCCCCAAAAGAUAAGUCUUCUUUAAAUUGCUCCAAUUUUCGGGGGGCUAUGUAAAACCGUACUACAUGCAUAGCGGGUAAUCUUUUAAAUCUUCAAUCACUACAAAGAAUAAGUUUUUAAAAAAAAACAAAAAAAAAAGGCAAUUUAGGAUGUGAAUUUGCAUGUACGUCGCGGAUCAAAGAAUACAAAGUUUAACUUCGUGUUAAAAGAAAAACGCUAUAGUCGAGUGACCCGACUAUCAGAUACCCGUUACCCAGCUUAAGGGAGCAAAAGGAUAAUGAAGAUAUGUACCUACCGGCUAUUUCACUAGAUGUUAUGUGGGCGGCAGACAGAUUUAAGCGUUUUGGCCAUUUGUGGGCGUUAGAGUGGGCGUGGCACACCGCU